CCAACGGUGCACCACAAAGCCUUCGGUUGCCAGCAAAGAUUGAAGCUGUAAAAUUCUCGAAACAAGAUGGAACAAGCCCUGAAAACAAAUUUUCUGCAACACUGAACGAAACCGAGUGAGCGAGAGAACAGAAUUGCCAUGGAAUUUCACCAUUGAGUUUGUUGUGCCGAAGGUUCAGUGUUUUCAAUUUCAGGUAUGCCAUGUCUGUGAUGCUCACUGGAAUUGGACCUGAAAAGCUGUUGUACGAGAGAUCCAGGGAACUUAAUUGGAAGCCGCCAUGAGAUGUCGGAAGGGAUGGGUCCUGAAAAACUGUUACCUGACAAAUUCAAGUCUUCUAUCAUACUGCAGCCCUGAAGACCUUCAGGAAAUUGGCCUUGAAGUCCCAGACUGACGAGAUGUAAAGAACGAACCGUGCUAUCACUGGGAUUCCAGCAGUUUACUCCAGUAAAGCUGCAUAUGAAACCGUUGAAUCCAUUGCCAGAAAAAUUCCAAGUGGAUUCGAGUUCACCACGGGGAUCAACCAGUGAUUUCUGCAGAGUCCUUAGGCAUUCGGUGUCAUCAGAAGCUACGAACAACAUUAAGCUGCUUAGCAGCAGCAGACUAAGGACGAACUUGAUAUCAUCAGACAUCACAGGCGUGUUAUAAAACGA
rnacentral:sRNA from 1 species